rnacentral:rRNA from 1 species
UUAAAUUGAAGAGUUUGAUCAUGGCUCAGAUUGAACGCUGGCGGCAGGCCUAACACAUGCAAGUCGAACGGUAACAGGAAGCAGCUUGCUGCUUUGCUGACGAGUGGCGGACGGGUGAGUAAUGUCUGGGAAACUGCCUGAUGGAGGGGGAUAACUACUGGAAACGGUGGCUAAUACCGCAUAACGUCGCAAGACCAAAGAGGGGGACCUUUGGGCCUCUUGCCAUCAGAUGUGCCCAGAUGGGAUUAGCUUGUUGGUGAGGUAACGGCUCACCAAGGCGACGAUCCCUAGCUGGUCUGAGAGGAUGACCAGCCACACUGGAACUGAGACACGGUCCAGACUCCUACGGGAGGCAGCAGUGGGGAAUAUUGCACAAUGGGCGCAAGCCUGAUGCAGCCAUGCCGCGUGUAUGAAGAAGGCCUUCGGGUUGUAAAGUACUUUCAGCGGGGAGGAAGGUGUUGUGGUUAAUAACCGCAGCAAUUGACGUUACCCGCAGAAGAAGCACCGGCUAACUCCGUGCCAGCAGCCGCGGUAAUACGGAGGGUGCAAGCGUUAAUCGGAAUUACUGGGCGUAAAGCGCACGCAGGCGGUCUGUCAAGUCGGAUGUGAAAUCCCCGGGCUCAACCUGGGAACUGCAUUCGAAACUGGCAGGCUUGAGUCUUGUAGAGGGGGGUAGAAUUCCAGGUGUAGCGGUGAAAUGCGUAGAGAUCUGGAGGAAUACCGGUGGCGAAGGCGGCCCCCUGGACAAAGACUGACGCUCAGGUGCGAAAGCGUGGGGAGCAAACAGGAUUAGAUACCCUGGUAGUCCACGCCGUAAACGAUGUCUACUUGGAGGUUGUGCCCUUGAGGCGUGGCUUCCGGAGCUAACGCGUUAAGUAGACCGCCUGGGGAGUACGGCCGCAAGGUUAAAACUCAAAUGAAUUGACGGGGGCCCGCACAAGCGGUGGAGCAUGUGGUUUAAUUCGAUGCAACGCGAAGAACCUUACCUGGUCUUGACAUCCACAGAAGAAUCCAGAGAUGGAUUUGUGCCUUCGGGAACUGUGAGACAGGUGCUGCAUGGCUGUCGUCAGCUCGUGUUGUGAAAUGUUGGGUUAAGUCCCGCAACGAGCGCAACCCUUAUCCUUUGUUGCCAGCGGUUAGGCCGGGAACUCAAAGGAGACUGCCAGUGAUAAACUGGAGGAAGGUGGGGAUGACGUCAAGUCAUCAUGGCCCUUACGACCAGGGCUACACACGUGCUACAAUGGCGCAUACAAAGAGAAGCGACCUCGCGAGAGCAAGCGGACCUCAUAAAGUGCGUCGUAGUCCGGAUUGGAGUCUGCAACUCGACUCCAUGAAGUCGGAAUCGCUAGUAAUCGUGGAUCAGAAUGCCACGGUGAAUACGUUCCCGGGCCUUGUACACACCGCCCGUCACACCAUGGGAGUGGGUUGCAAAAGAAGUAGGUAGCUUAACCUUCGGGAGGGCGCUUACCACUUUGUGAUUCAUGACUGGGGUGAAGUCGUAACAAGGUAACCGUAGGGGAACCUGCGGUUGGAUCACCUCCUUACCUUAAAGAAGC